rnacentral:rRNA from 1 species
GGCGAGAGACCGAUAGCGAACAAGUACCGUGAGGGAAAGAUGAAAAGAACUUUGAAAAGAGAGUUAAAUAGUACGUGAAAUUGUUGAAAGGGAAACGAUUGAAGCCAGUCGUACCUGCGGGUAAUCAGCCUUUUGGGCAUGAUUCUGUGGAGCGUGAGGAGUUAAACGCCUUCAUGCCUGCAUAUUCGUGUACUUUGGGUGUACUUGCCUGUGUGGUUAGUUAACAUCAAUUUUGGUUAUCAUAAAAUGGCUGGAGGAAUGUAGCUUCGAUUUCGAUUGAAGUGUUAUAGCCUUCGGCAGAUGUGAUGAUCGGGAUUGAGGAUUGCAACGGAUACCCUUCGGGGCUACCUGUCUGGUCUCUGAUCGUUGCUCUGGUGCCGAAAGCGUGCUUACGGUUAUCAAAGUCGAUGGUCAAUAGGUUAGAACGGGUUAAA